rnacentral:rRNA from 1 species
CCUACGGGUGGCAGCAGUGGGGAAUAUUGGACAAUGGGGGAAACCCUGAUCCAGCGACGCCGCGUGAGUGAAGAAGUAUUUCGGUAUGUAAAGCUCUAUCAGCAGGGAAGAAAAUGACGGUACCUGACUAAGCAGCCCCGGCUAACUACGUGCCAGCAGCCGCGGUAAUACGUAGGGGGCAAGCGUUAUCCGGAUUUACUGGGGGUAAAGGGAGCGUAGACGGCAGUGCCAGUCUGGUGUGAAAGUGUGGGGCUCAACCCCGGGACUGCAUUGGAAACUGUACGGCUGGAGUACAGGAGAGGUAAGCGGAAUUCCUAGUGUAGCGGUGAAAUGCGUAGAUAUUAGGAGGAACACCAGUGGCGAAGGCGGCCUACUGGACAGUAACUGACGUUGAGGCUCGAAAGCGUGGGGAGCAAACAGGAUUAGAUACCCGUGUAGUC